GCUGGGUGUGGUGGCGCACGCCUGUAAUCCCAGCAGUUUGGGAGGCUGAGGCUGGAGGAUCAUGGGUUCAAAGCCAGCCUCAG
rnacentral:sRNA from 1 species